GGACGAACCUCUGGUGUGCCAGUUGUUCUGCCAAGGGCAUGGCUGGUUGGCUACGUUCGGGAGGGAUAACCGCUGAAAGCAUCUAAGCGGGAAGCCUGCUUCGAGAUGAGGACUCCCACCCACUUGAUGGGGUAAGGCUCCCAGUAGACGACUGGGUUGAUAGGCCGGAUCUGGAAGCCAGGUAACUGGUGGAGGUGACCGGUACUAAUAGGCCGAGGGCUUGUCCUCAGUUG
rnacentral:rRNA from 1 species